rnacentral:rRNA from 1 species
GACGAACGCUGGCGGCGUGCUUAACACAUGCAAGUCGAACGGAAAGGCCCUGCUUUUGUGGGGUGCUCGAGUGGCGAACGGGUGAGUAACACGUGAGUAACCUGCCCUUGACUUUGGGAUAAUUCAGGAAACUGGGGCUAAUACCGGAUAGGAGCUCCUGCUGCAUGGUGGGGGUUGGAAAGUUUCGGCGGUUGGGGAUGGACUCGCGGCUUAUCAGCUUGUUGGUGGGGUAGUGGCUUACCAAGGCUUUGACGGGUAGCCGGCCUGAGAGGGUGACCGGCCACAUUGGGACUGAGAUACGGCCCAGAGUCCAACGGGGGGCAGCAGUGGGGAAUAUUGCACAAUGGGCGGAAGCCUGAUGCAGCAACGCCGCGUGCGGGAUGACGGCCUUCGGGUUGUAAACCGCUUUCGCCUGUGACGAAGCGUGAGUGACGGUAAUGGGUAAAGAAGCACCGGCUAACUACGUG